rnacentral:tRNA from 1 species
AGGGUUGUGGCUCAGUGGUAGAGCACUUGCCUAGCAUGCAUGAGGCACUGGGCUUGAUCCCCGGCACCACAU